rnacentral:rRNA from 1 species
AGGACAAACGCCGGCGGCGUACCUAAGACAUGCAAGUCGAACGGAUUGCGUAUCUUCGGAUGUGCAGUGAGUGGCGAACGGGUGAGUAACGCGUGGGUGACCUGCCCCGAAGUGGGGAAUAACUGCCCGAAAGGGUGGCUAAUACCGCAUGUGGUGGUGCGUUCAUUCGCACCAGUAAAGCCGCAAGGCGCUUCGGGAGGGGCCUGCGUCCGAUUAGCUCGUUGGUGGGGUAACGGCUCACCAAGGCGACGAUCGGUAGGUGGUCUGAGAGGACGAUCACCCAGACUGGGACUGAGACACGGCCCAGACUCCUACGGGAGGCAGCAGUCGGGAAUUUUGCUCAAUGGACGAAAGUCUGAAGCAGCAACGCCGCGUGAGGGAUGAAGGCCUUCGGGUUGUAAACCUCUUUUAUCAGGGACGAUAAUGACGGUACCUGAUGAAUAAGUCACGGCUAACUACGUGUCAGCAGCCGC